ACCGGCAGCUCAAGUGGUGGCCAUUUUUAUUGGGCCUAAAGCGUUCGUAGCCGGUUUGAUAAGUCUCUGGUGAAAUCCCGCAGCUUAACUGUGGGACUUGCUGGAGAUACUAUUAGACUUGAGGUCGGGAGAGGUUAGGGGUACUCCCAGGGUAGGGGUGCAAUCAUAUAAUCAUGGGAGGCCCACCUGUGGCGAGGGCGCCGAACUGGAACGAACCUGACGGUGAGUAACGAAAUUCAGUGGCGCGACCCG
rnacentral:rRNA from 1 species